rnacentral:rRNA from 1 species
ACGUAGGGUGCGAGCGUUAAUCGGAAUUACUGGGCGUAAAGGGUGAGUAGGCGGAAGUAUAAGUUAGAUGUGAAAUACCUGGGCUUAACCUGGGAAUGACGUAUAAUACUGUAUUUCUAGAGUAUGUUAGAGGGGGGUAGAAUUCCAAGUGUAGCAGUGAAAUGCGUAGAGAUUUGGAGGAAUAUCGAAGGCGAAGGCAGCCCCCUGGGAUAAUACUGACGCUGAGUCACGAAAGCGUGGGGAGCAAACAGG